rnacentral:rRNA from 1 species
UUUCGCCAGAAUACAUUAGCAUGGAAUAAUACUAUAGGAUCUUGGUUCUAUUUUGUUGGUUUCUAGAAUUGAGAUAAUGAUUAAUAGGGACAAUUGGGGGCAUUCGUAUCAACACGUCAGAGGUGGAAUUCUUGGAUUGUGUUGCGACGAACUACUGCGAAAGCAUUUGCCAAGGAUGUUUUCAUUGAUCAAGAACGAAAGUAAGGGGAUCGAAGACGAUUAGAUACCGUCGUAGUCUUUACCAUAAACUAUGCCGACUAGAGAUGGGGCAUCGUUCAUUUACGACUUGCUCCGCACCUUAUGAGAUAUCAAAGUUUUUGGGUUCCGGGGGGAGUAUGGUCGCAAGACUGAAACUUAAAGGAAUUGACGGAAGGGCACCACCAGGAGUGGAGCCUGCGGCUUAAUUUGACUCAACACGGGGAAACUCACCAGGUCCAGACAUAAUAAGGAUUGACAGAUUGAUAGCUCUUUCUUGAUUUUAUGGGUGGUGGUGCAUGGCCGUUCUUAGUUCGUGGAGUGAUUUGUCUGCUUAAUUGCGUUAACGAACGAGACCUUAACCUGCUAAAUAGGAGCGCCUAUCUUCGGAUAAGCGUCUUUCUUCUUAGAGGGACUUUAUGCGUUUCAGCAUGAGGAAGUUUGAGGCUAAAACAGGUCUGUGAUGCCCUUCGAUGUUCUGGGCUGCACGCGCGCUACACUGAUGCGUUCAACGAGUGUACAACCUUGCCCGAUAGGGUUGGGUAACCUUUUGAACACGCAUCGUGAUGGGGAUAGAUUAUUGCAAUUAUUAAUCUUCAACGAGGAAUUCCUAGUAAUGGCGAAUCAUCAGUUCGUCGUGAUUACGUCCCUGCCCUUUGUACACACCGCCCGUCGCUCCUACCGAUUGAGCAAUCCGGUGAAUAUUUCGGACCGAAUAGCUGCGGGGCAACCCAUAGCCGUUUGGAAAGUCAAGUAAACCUUAUUGCUUAGAGGAAGGAGAAGUCGUAACAAGGUUUCCGUAG